rnacentral:tRNA from 8 species
CGGGGUGUAGCGCAGUUUGGUAGCGCAUCUGGUUUGGGACCAGAGGGUCGCGGGUUCAAAUCCUGCCACCCCGACCA